UCCAAUGAAUGUACAAGCACUAACGAAUAUAGAAACACUCCAACGAAUGUACAAGUACUCCAAUGAAUGUACAAGCACUAACGAAUAUAGAAACACUCCAAUGAAUGUACAAGUACUCCAACGAAUAUGCAAUUAAUUGAACACAAUGCCCAGUACAGUGACAACGUUAGGUUAUAUCUUGGUGUUUUUUUUUUGGUGAGAUCGUGAUGCCUGCCAAAUUUUAUAAAUACCGUGCAUCAGGUAGGCUAUCCUAAUUAAUAGUCCAUGGUCUUGGGCUAUUACUCUGUACCUCAAGGACGCUGGUUAACAUAACAUGAAGGUCUCAAGUUUCAGACCACAGGCAUUUAUUUGGAGCAUGGAGGUAUUUUUAUAUCCCUUUUAAUUUACUAUUUUACUGAAGCUUGUGAAAUUACUCCACAUUAGAUGUUUUGAUCACUUCCUAUUAAUGAAAUUAUCCUGUUGAAGAAACCAAGUAGGCCCUAUUGCAUUUUGAACUGAUGAUGACGGAUGAAUCAACACAUGUACAAGUGUAGUGUAUUUGGCCGCGGUAAAUCAUGGACAGACAAACUUUGGAAGAAUUUGUCAAUAUGGGAUACAAGAAUUCGGAAAUUGCAGAAAAAAUGGGGAUAAGCGUUAGAAGUGUGAAAAAUAUGCGUCGGGAAUUUCAUUUGAGAAAAAAAGAUUUAUCUAGUAAAAUCAGUGAUGCAUCUCUCGAUGAAUCGAUUCUUAAGAUUGUUACCCGUAAUCCAGAAUAUGGCGAAAAAAUUAUAGCAGGAAACCUGAAUUUUGAGGGAGUACAUGCGACACGUGCAAGAAUUAGGGAGUCUAUGCAUAGAGUUGACCCUGA